rnacentral:rRNA from 1 species
UAAAACACAGGGAUCUGCUAAGCCGCAAGGCGACGUAUAGGUCCUGACGCCUGUCCGGUGCCGGCAAGGGAAAGGGGGGAGACCCCUAUAACCCCCGGUAAACGACGGCCGUAACUGUGACGGUCCUAAGGUAGCGAAAUUCCUUGUCGUGUAACUUCCGACCUGCACGAAUGGCGUAACGACUUCCCCACUGUCUCCAGGACAUGCUCAGCGAAAUUGAAUUCUCCGUGAAGAUGCGGAGUUCGCGCGGCUAGACGGAAAGACCCUGUGAACCUUAACUAUAACUUCGCAGUGGCGUUAUCGGUGGUUUGUGUAGGAUAGGUGGGAGGCUGUGAAGCCGGGAUUCUGGUCUCGGCGGAGCCACCGUUGAAAUACCACCCUUUUGUUCUUUGAUGUCUAACCGCGCCCCGUGAUCCGGGGCCGGGACCCUGCAUGGCGGGUAGUUUGACUGGGGCGGCCGCCUCCCAAAAUGUAACGGAGGUGUCAAAACGACGCAGUAUACAGACUGACGCCUGCCCAAUGCCGGAAGGUUAAAGGGAUGGGUUAGCCCGUAAGGGCGAAGCUCAGAACUGAAGCCCCGGUGAAUGGCGGCCGUAACUAUGACGGUCCUAAGGUAGCGAAGUUCCUUGUCGGGUAAGUUCCGACCUGCACGAAUGGCGUAACGAUGGCCACACUGUCUCCACCCGACACUCAGUGAAGUUGAAAUCGCUGUGAAGAUGCGGCGUAGCUGCGGAAAGACGGAAAGACCCCGUGCACCUUUACUGUAGCUUUGCGCUGGCAUUCGUGUCGGCAUGUGUAGGAUAGGUGGUAGGCUUUGAAGCGGGGACGCCAGUUCCCGUGGAGCCAUCCUUGAGAUACCGCCCUUCGCACUCUUGAUGUCUAACCGCGGCCCGUUAUCCGGGUCCGGGACCCUGCGUGGUGGGUAGUUUGACUGGGGCGGUCGCCUCCCAAAGAGUAACGGAGGCGCGCGAAGGUUGGCUCAAGCUGGUCGGAAAUCAGCUGUCGAGUGCAAAGGCAUAAGCCAGCCUGACUGCGAGACUGACACGUCGAGCAGAGACGAAAGUCGGCCUUAGUGAUCCGGUGGUCCCGCGUGGAAGGGCCAUCGCUCAACGGAUAAAAGGUACGCCGGGGAUAACAGGCUGAUGACGCCCAAGAGUCCAUAUCGACGGCGUUGUUUGGCACCUCGAUGUCGGCUCAUCGCAUCCUG